rnacentral:tRNA from 1 species
UUAAUAAAAGCCAAAACCGCGGCUUUUCAUUGUUAAUGAAAUCACUGAGUCACCUCUUAUUAAU